rnacentral:rRNA from 1 species
CCUACGGGUGGCAGCAGUGGGGAAUUUUGGACAAUGGGGGCAACCCUGAUCCAGCCAUUCCGCGUGAGUGAAGAAGGCCUUCGGGUUGUAAAGCUCUUUUGUCCGGAGCGAAACGGGCGGCCCUAAUACGGUCGUCUACUGACGGUACCGGAAGAAUAAGCACCGGCUAACUACGUGCCAGCAGCCGCGGUAAUACGUAGGGUGCGAGCGGUAAUCGGAAUUAGUGGGGGUGAAGUGUGAAGCGGCGGGUGAAAUCCCCGGGCUCAACCUGGGAAUGGCAUUUGGGACUGCAAGGCGGGAGUGUGGCAGAGGGGACUAGAAUUCCUGGUGUAGCAGUGAAAUGCGUAGAUAUCAGGAGGAAUACCGAUGGCGAAGGCAGGUCCCUGGGUUAACACUGACGCUCAUGCACGAAAGCGUGGGGAGCAAACAGGAUUAGAUACCCGAGUAGUA